GACGAACGCUGGCGGCGUGCUUAACACAUGCAAGUCGAACGGAAAGGCCCUGCUUUUGUGGGGUGCUCGAGUGGCGAACGGGUGAGUAACACGUGAGUAACCUGCCCUUGACUUUGGGAUAACUUCAGGAAACUGGGGCUAAUACCGGAUAGGAGCUCCUGCUGCAGGGUGGGGGUUGGAAAGUUUCGGCGGUUGGGGAUGGACGCGCGGCUUAUCAGCUUGUUGGUGGGGUAGUGGUUUACCAAGGCUUUGACGGGUAGCCGGCCUGAGAGGGUGACCGGCGACAUUGGGACUGCGGUACGGCCCAGACUCCUACGGGAGGCAGCAGUGGGGAAUAUUGCCCAAUGGGCGGAAGCCUGAUGCAGCAACGCCGCGUGCGUGAUGACGGCCUUCGGGUUGUAAACCGCUUUCGCCUGUGACGAAGCGUGAGUGACGGUAAUGGGUAAAGAAGCACCGGCUAACUACGUG
rnacentral:rRNA from 1 species